GAAAUGCGAUAAGUAAUGUGAAUUGCAGAAUUCAGUGAAUCAUCGAAUCUUUGAACGCACAUUGCGCCCGCCAGUAUUCUGGCGGGCAUGCCUGUCCGAGCGUCAUUUCAACCAUCAAGCCCCCAGGCUUGUGUUGGGGACCUGCGGCUGCCCGCAGGCCCUGAAAACCAGUGGCGGGCUCGCUGUCACACCGAGCGUAGUAGCAAUCACCUCGCUCAGGGCGUGCUGCGGGUUCCGGCCGUUAAACAGCCUUACAAAACCCAAGGUUGACCUCGGAUCAGGUAGGAAGACCCGCUGAACUUAAGC
rnacentral:misc_RNA from 1 species